ensembl:misc_RNA
GGCUGAAUUGAGUGUCUUAGCAUGAAUUCUUAGCGCUCGCCGCCGCAAGAUAUGGUGGACGGAGCAGCUGCACAGAGUUCGCGGAUCCAGGGUGGUUGCACAAGCCAAGGUGGAACUGAUAACCAGCCGAGCCUCCGGCCGCAGCGCUGAUGCCAGUUAAGAACUGCCUCUCCGGGAUCGCCGCAGUGUACUUCU